AGCGGCGUACGGGUGCGGAACACGUGUGCAACCUGCCUUUAUCAGGGGGAUAGCCUUUCGAAAGGAAGAUUAAUACCCCAUAAUAUUUAAGAUGGCAUCAUUUUAAAUUGAAAACUACGGUGGAUAAAGAUGGGCACGCGCAAGAUUAGAUAGUUGGUGAGGUAACGGCUCACCAAGUCAGUGAUCUUUAGGGGGCCUGAGAGGGUGAUCCCCCACACUGGUACUGAGACACGGACCAGACUCCUACGGGAGGCAGCAGUGAGGAAUAUUGGACAAUGGGUGAGAGCCUGAUCCAGCCAUCCCGCGUGAAGGACGACGGCCCUAUGGGUUGUAAACUUCUUUUGUAUAGGGAUAAACCUAGAUACGUGUAUCUAGCUGAAGGUACUAUACGAAUAAGCACCGGCUAACUCCGUGCCAGCAGCCGCGGUAAUACGGAGGGUGCAAGCGUUAUCCGGAUUUAUUGGGUUUAAAGGGUCCGUAGGCGGAUCAGUAAGUCAGUGGUGAAAUCUCAUAGCUCAACUAUGAAACUGCCAUUGAUACUGUUGGUCUUGAGUAAGGUAGAAGUAGCUGGAAUAAGUAGUGUAGCGGUGAAAUGCAUAGAUAUUACUUAGAACACCAAUUGCGAAGGCAGGUUACUAUGUCUUAACUGACGCUGAUGGACGAAAGCGUGGGGAGCGAACAGGAUUAGAUACCCUGGUAGUCCACGCUGUAAACGAUGCUAACUCGUUUUUGGGCUUUCGGGUUCAGAGACUAAGCGAAAGUGAUAAGUUAGCCACCUGGGGAGUACGAACGCAAGUUUGAAACUCAAAGGAAUUGACGGGGGCCCGCACAAGCGGUGGAUUAUGUGGUUUAAUUCGAUGAUACGCGAGGAACCUUACCAAGGCUUAAAUGGGAAUUGAUCGGUUUAGAAAUAGACCUUCCUUCGGGCAAUUUUCAAGGUGCUGCAUGGUUGUCGUCAGCUCGUGCCGUGAGGUGUUAGGUUAAGUCCUGCAACGAGCGCAACCCCUGUUACUAGUUGCUACCAUUAAGUUGAGGACUCUAGUAAGACUGCCUACGCAAGUAGAGAGGAAGGUGGGGAUGACGUCAAAUCAUCACGGCCCUUACGCCUUGGGCCACACACGUAAUACAAUGGCCGGUACAGAGGGCAGCUACACAGCGAUGUGAUGCAAAUCUCGAAAGCCGGUCUCAGUUCGGAUUGGAGUCUGCAACUCGACUCUAUGAAGCUGGAAUCGCUAGUAAUCGCGCAUCAGCCAUGGCGCGGUGAAUACGUUCCCGGGCCUUGUACACACCGCCCGU
rnacentral:rRNA from 1 species